UUGCACUUCUCAGCUCGAGGGUUGGAUAUCUCAUCUAUCCAUACAGUUGUGAACUAUGAUGUAGCACGAGACAUUGACACACAUACACAUCGAAUUGGUAGAACAGGUCGUGCAGAUGGACCUGGCAAUGCAGAAUCCCUGGUUCAGGAAGUCCCGCUUUAAGGGAGGGAAAGGGAAGAAGCCAAAUAUUGGAGGUGGAGGCCUGGGUUACAGAGAGAGACCAGGCCUUGGAUCUGAAUCCACUGAGCGCAGUAGUAGUUGUGGUUCUCCUCUUGGUAACUAUGAAGCCUACAAAAGCUCCACUGGGGCCAUGGGAGAGCAUAUGU